GUUCAAAAGAUUGCUGUUUACGUAAACAAAAUAUCCAUUUGCUGUCAUUUCCAUAAAAAAUAUUUAGUAUCCUUUUGUUUAAGUUGCUCUCUAAUUGUCACAACAAGUUCUUUUGAUUUCAUCAAGCGUUCCUUGAUUCACCUUUGAAAGAAUUCCAAAAUCAAAUGGUUUUGAGUUUUAUUAUUUAGUUUGAGUGAGCUUAAAAGAGCUAGUACAACUAAGAACAGAGAAUCUGCUCGAGA
rnacentral:lncRNA from 1 species